ACCCAAGCAGGUCGGUGGUCCCCUUUCAAUCUCUCCGGUGGUUUAUCGAAAGAGACGAGAAUGCAGAGGUUUUGUACUAAGCUGCGUUCCAUCUCCCUCCACUCAAAUCGGAAUCUCUCUUUCACCAGUGUUCCCCACCGUCUGAUCCACCAUUCUCGGAGUCCCCAGUCAACCCUAGGUUUCGCCACGACGAGUAAAUGGAACUUCGUUUCUCCGUCGAAUCCCACCUCCACGGGGUCGAUCUCCGUUCCUCAUCAUUUGGUUCAAGUAAGGAAUAUCACUUCCAAGGAUAAAAUGGCGAAAUGGAAGAAGAAGUGGAGACCUAGGACUCCAAUCACAUCCAAAGUCAAGAAAGUCAAGAUCAAGUUUUACUCGUCAUACAAAGACAGGUUUAGACCACUGAAUUAUGGUACCAUCCUUCGCUGGAAAGAAGGCAAGCGCCACAACGCCCACUUGAAGUCAAAGAAAUCAAAACGUAGACUGAGACAGCCUGGACUAGUACCACCAGCAUAUGCCAAAGUCAUGAAGAAACUCAAUUUCUGCAAUUGAGAGAGAGAGAAAGAAACUGUUCAAUCUCUUCUUCCAACUUUCCAGAUAAUUAAUGAGCUGGUACCCAAAGGAGUAUCAGACUCUACGGAAGCCAAGAAUCGGCGUUAAGGGUAGAGCUUCUCUGAUCUCUGAUUGAAGAAUGGAUGAGUUAGAGAGGUUUUUUGGGUCUCUUUUGGAGCAGAUUCAGUAGAGUUGGCGAGAAAACGGUCCAAAAAAGAGUCUUCCUCCAUCCGACCUAAGUCUCCUCGGAUGUAAUCAAAGGUGGUUGCGGGCCUCUCUGAUCAUCAAUUAAUCUCGGUUGUAAAGCGAAAGGUAAUUGAGUUCAAGGGUUUGGGCGCAGCAAAGGAUUGCAGUAAAGUCAACAGAAAAGCUUCUCCGGCGGUUUCAGCGACACAAGGAGAAGCGGUGGAAUCGAGCGGUGAAGAAUAGAUUGGUGGCAAGUUGUGUUCUCAGAAGUGGCCACGUUGCAGCAAACCUAAGGAGAGUUCUACACGUGUUGCUUUUAAUUAGGUUUUAUCAUUGAUCUCACGUGUUGGGCUUUCUGCCUAUUUCUUUGUACUCUUGUAAUAGCCCAAAAAGGGUUUAAUGAAAUGAACCAAUGUUUAAAAGGAAAAAAAAAGUAAUCAAUUGUCAUUUUUGGGAAUUCCC